rnacentral:lncRNA from 1 species
AGCAGCUUGCUGCCCAAAGCGACAGUACUGGCAGCCCUGCAUCUUUUCCUUAAUUCCUAGCUGAGGUUGGUGAGGACAUCUUCUGCCCCUAGGUCUCUCUCCCCGCAGCCUUGAAUCCAUCCCUGGCUGGGACUGUGCAGGACCGGAGCUUUCACAGCCCUUAUCGGCCUUCCCACAUUGCGCCCGAGCCUCUGCUGUCAAAUCAGCCUUUUGUCUCCACCGGGAUGAAGAAAGUCUCAGGAUCUAAUAAGCAGCUGACUCAUGGACCAUGAGGCAUUAGAGGCAGUGCAGCUCAGACACGUCAAGAGGACGAAGAUGGCCAGAUGUUAAAACUGUAUAACAGGAUGGAGCUUCCCAGAAAACUACAGAUCAUUAAACUGAAAAAAGUCACAAGCUUUGUCAUCCUAUCAAAUUGGGUUUACCUGCUGUCAGCAUCAAAGCACCUGGCAGAACUGGCACAAUCAUCCAUGCCAACACCACCCAGCUACCAAAGCUACCCACAAGUGAAGCACCCUGAAAGGCCUGGCAUAGGGAUUUAAUUUACCGUGUCAACUAUAUUUGGAUGGUGACAGAAUGAAAAUGUUUACCAUGCAGGCUUAUAAAACCAGUGCUUUCCUCUUCUCUCUUUUGUCAAUAGUUUCAAUCAGAGUCAAAUCUGAUCUUGUGAAACUUAGUCUGCGUUUUUGGAAGUGUGCACUUAAUUCUUUCCAUUCGCUUUUAGCAUUU